rnacentral:rRNA from 1 species
UUUAUGGAGAGUUUGAUCCUGGCUCAGGAUGAACGCUGGCGGCGUGCCUAAUACAUGCAAGUCGAGCGAACGGACGAGAAGCUUGCUUCUCUGAUGUUAGCGGCGGACGGGUGAGUAACACGUGGAUAACCUACCUAUAAGACUGGGAUAACUUCGGGAAACCGGAGCUAAUACCGGAUAAUAUUUUGAACCGCAUGGUUCAAAAGUGAAAGACGGUCUUGCUGUCACUUAUAGAUGGAUCCGCGCUGCAUUAGCUAGUUGGUAAGGUAACGGCUUACCAAGGCAACGAUGCAUAGCCGACCUGAGAGGGUGAUCGGCCACACUGGAACUGAGACACGGUCCAGACUCCUACGGGAGGCAGCAGUAGGGAAUCUUCCGCAAUGGGCGAAAGCCUGACGGAGCAACGCCGCGUGAGUGAUGAAGGUCUUCGGAUCGUAAAACUCUGUUAUUAGGGAAGAACAUAUGUGUAAGUAACUGUGCACAUCUUGACGGUACCUAAUCAGAAAGCCACGGCUAACUACGUGCCAGCAGCCGCGGUAAUACGUAGGUGGCAAGCGUUAUCCGGAAUUAUUGGGCGUAAAGCGCGCGUAGGCGGUUUUUUAAGUCUGAUGUGAAAGCCCACGGCUCAACCGUGGAGGGUCAUUGGAAACUGGAAAACUUGAGUGCAGAAGAGGAAAGUGGAAUUCCAUGUGUAGCGGUGAAAUGCGCAGAGAUAUGGAGGAACACCAGUGGCGAAGGCGACUUUCUGGUCUGUAACUGACGCUGAUGUGUGAAAGCGUGGGGAUCAAACAGGAUUAGAUACCCUGGUAGUCCACGCCGUAAACGAUGAGUGCUAAGUGUUAGGGGGUUUCCGCCCCUUAGUGCUGCAGCUAACGCAUUAAGCACUCCGCCUGGGGAGUACGACCGCAAGGUUGAAACUCAAAGGAAUUGACGGGGACCCGCACAAGCGGUGGAGCAUGUGGUUUAAUUCGAAGCAACGCGAAGAACCUUACCAAAUCUUGACAUCCUUUGACAACUCUAGAGAUAGAGCCUUCCCCUUCGGGGGACAAAGUGACAGGUGGUGCAUGGUUGUCGUCAGCUCGUGUCGUGAGAUGUUGGGUUAAGUCCCGCAACGAGCGCAACCCUUAAGCUUAGUUGCCAUCAUUAAGUUGGGCACUCUAAGUUGACUGCCGGUGACAAACCGGAGGAAGGUGGGGAUGACGUCAAAUCAUCAUGCCCCUUAUGAUUUGGGCUACACACGUGCUACAAUGGACAAUACAAAGGGCAGCGAAACCGCGAGGUCAAGCAAAUCCCAUAAAGUUGUUCUCAGUUCGGAUUGUAGUCUGCAACUCGACUACAUGAAGCUGGAAUCGCUAGUAAUCGUAGAUCAGCAUGCUACGGUGAAUACGUUCCCGGGUCUUGUACACACCGCCCGUCACACCACGAGAGUUUGUAACACCCGAAGCCGGUGGAGUAACCUUUUAGGAGCUAGCCGUCGAAGGUGGGACAAAUGAUUGGGGUGAAGUCGUAACAAGGUAGCCGUAUCGGAAGGUGCGGCUGGAUCACCUCCUUUCU